rnacentral:rRNA from 1 species
GAAGGGCGUAUCUUAAAACUGUUGCGGUUAAAAAGCUCGUAGUUGGAUUUUUCCGUCCCAGCAAACUCGCGUCCCCUCGCGGUGGGCUUUGCCUGCCGCGGGUGGGGUGCGACUGGGCGUUUAUCUGCUGCGGCGCGGACACUCGUUGUCCGCGCAGCAGCAACUACUUUGAGAAAAUUAGAGUGUUUCAAGCAGGCAAUCAAUCAAUGCCGUGAAUACUACAGCAUGGAAUAGAACCAACGGGCUUUCGUCCUGCGCUGGUGGGUUCCUGGACCAAGUCAUGAUUGAUAGGGACGGUUGGGGGUGCUCGUAUUCCGCGGCCAGAGGUGAAAUUCUUGGAUUCGCGGAAGACGAACUAGUGCGAAAGCAUUCACCAAGUACGUUUUCUUUAA